CAUUAGAUGACUGAAAGAAAGUACUGGUCUCUUAAACCACACUAUAGUAAAUUAACGCUUACUUCUAAUGA
rnacentral:tRNA from 1 species